rnacentral:lncRNA from 1 species
CUUCAACAAAUAUCAGAAUUGGAAGGAAACUCAAAGAGGAGCUAGGCCACGUAUGCAUUUUGCUAAUGAGAUAACUGAGACUCACUGAGGAUGGGUGAUGCUAAAACAUUACAUGGCUGAAAGAGCUCUUUCCACAGCACCAGCCAUCAUUUAUUCCUUCAACUAGCAUUGGGGGCAACCUCCCAUAACUGGGUGUUGGAGAUGCAGUGGCAGGAAAGAUAGACUUGGUACCUGAUAUCAUGGAGCUUAUAUCCUGGUGAGACAUAUGACAAAGACAUGGCCCAUGAGGAAUGAUGUAAGAAGAAUCUAAAGAGUAGUGAGUGGGCAGGACCACGGUGUGAGGUGAGGUGCAGAGGUAGGCAGGGGACAGAUCAUGGAGUCCUGUGGCUCUGGUGAGAUUAGAUACAUUUCAAGUGCAGUGGGGAGCCAUUCACAGAUUUUGUGUAUCAUUCAGUUUAGACUUGCAGAAUGUUACCCUGGAACUCUGCGGAGAAUGGAUUGGAAGGGCAGCAAAAUCAGAAGAAAGAAAAGCAGUUAAAGAGUUACUUCAGCAGUCAAGGCACGAGCUAAUGGUGGCUUGGACCAUACUAAUGAUGAUAGAGACAGAGAGGCACUUUAGAGGCAGGAGUGAGAGGACUCAGAUUACAAGGACUGCAAGAAGCAAAGGAAGAGCCAAAGAUGACUCCAGAUUCCUGACUCGAGUUGUGGGAUCGAAGACUGAGUUGGGAAGAUUGAGAGAAGACAGCAAUCAGUGAGGGAGUAAAUCAAGAGUUCUACUUAAGACCCAAGAGACAUCCAAGAGGAGAAGUCACACCAGCAAUUGAGCAGGUGAUAUGGGUGGAAUUUAUUAGGACAGAAAUAGUGUUUAACACUGCCAGGAUGGAUGGGCUCUCCUACAGAUAGUACGGCUAGAGGAGAAACAAAGCCUGCCCUUAAGGAACUCCAAUCUUAACAAUGCAAUGGAAAAAGAAGCUCCAGACAGGACACUGAGAAGGAAUGCCAGCAAGGUUCAGUAAGCCAGCUGUGUCCUCACAGAAUCUGAGUAGGUGAAGAGCCAAACACACAAGAGAGACUGAGCAGAGAAUGGAAAAGUAUCUAAUAGAUUAGACAACGUUGACAUUGACAAUGUCUGCUGAAAUUGACAACCCGUAGCAGGAGUUUCAGAGAAGCUGUGAUAUUGGAGAUGGAUUCAAGUGGUUUUAAGGGAGAAUGGUAAGGGAGGACAUGAGGGUAUUGCUUAAAGUGAGAGAUCCUAGAACUUGUUUGUUGGAUGAUACAAGUGAUGCGUUGAAAGUGUUGUAGUACUGUACACUAGUGUUGUUGGGCCUACAUGUGCAGUCCCUUAAUGAGUUGCACUCUCUCCAUGGGUGCCCACUUUGCAUCUGAAAGACCCAAAGAUGAAGGAGCCCGCUUUUCAGGGUUUCCCACUGCACGGUCUAUGUGCACAGGAAGCUUCCUUAAUCAACACAAGGGAGGUGAGAUAUCAUCUUUUAUUUGAUGAAAUGAGUGGUGUCAAAAAAUGGGGGAUUGGCUGGAAAUACUACACAGAGCCUUCUGCCUGUCAUAAACAGAAUUUAAGAAUCCAGAGCCUAGCGCCUGUGUACAGAAUUCCACCCAGCCAUGAACCUCAACUUCCUGGAGGACCCACCACCUGGAUCCAAGAGAAUGUGAACUGAGCCUGCUACCGCAUGACACAGUCCCAUCUUUGUCUUGGAGCCAACAGUCCACGUGUUACGGAAAGUUCAGUCUCUGAACUCCUUGCCAAUCUAAAUAACAAGAACAAAGUUUUGGGUAAAAAGGAAAGAAAGCUUUAUUCUCUUUGCCAGGCAAAGGGAGCAGCAGCAGGCUAGCGCCUUACGAACUGCUGGCUCCCCAUCAGAUAAAUGGGUAAGGGGUUUUAUAGGAGAAGUCUAAGAGUCCAGUUCAGGGCUAUGUGCCAGAAGACACAUUUUUCUUUCCUGUUGGUGGUCUCAAGAUUGCUGGAGUGCCUUGUUUGCUGACACAGAUGUUUUUGUUCUUUAUGGCCAGCAAGACACAGGACACGAUAACCAGAUCCUUUUGUUGCAAGCUGUUAUCCAGACUCCCUGGAACUCGGGUUAUUCUCAAGUCUCAGCAGAGCGGGAGUGUAAGCAGAGAAACAUAAGGAAGGCAAAAUUAUGUACACUUUUAAUUCCAGCCUUAGUUGCCGGGAAAGUGUCACUUCAGAUAAGGAAGACGUUACUAGUCAGGUUGUUAUUUAAUCCGUAUACUUCUAAUUUCGGAUAGAAAAAGCCCAUAACACAUGCAAGGCAGAGUACAGGUUGCAUCGUCCUUUCAUGCCUGGUUGCUAACCUACAUUUCCCCAUGUGGGAGAAUUUGGUCUGCACCCUGAUUUCAUUAUAUGACAUUGUGGAGGAGACCUGAGCACACGCCUUCCUGGAAUUGUUGAGGCUACUAAAAUGUUAUUAAAAGGAGCCCAGAAAGUUUGAACAGCCAAAUUUCACAAGACGGUAUAGCUCGUGUUGGAUGGGAGAGUGGGGACACUGCAAGGCAAGCUACCUUGAACGGAUCAGAGGGAAUGGGGCCAGCACACACAGUCUGAGCGCUCACAGUCUUCUUCCUACAGCCUCAUAUUUCUUCUCCAGUCACAUUCCUGGGAAGAUUGUUCCAGAGGGAGCUCACAUUUCUUCCUGAUUAAUGCACUGGUGCCAGGACCAUCCCGGAUGCCUCCUCCUUCACUCUUCAAUCAAAGUAUUUCUAUUUCUGACCAUCCUGACUUGCUUCAGAGGUGGGAAGGGCCCUCUUGGCCUAUCACACACAAAGAGUCUGCCCUUCGGUAAGUCAUUGAGCAUAUUUCUAACCUGUCCCCUAGCGGUAACCAAUUAAUGAACUUUUGCUGGCACACAGAAAUUGUUAUGAGACUGCAUCACAAUGAUGAGUGAAUUUUCAUUAGCAAUCCAAUUUGGAAAUGGAACUGCACAAUUCGUCCUUUAAAUAGAAUUCUCCAGAUAUUAAAUUUAGCCUCUUGAUUUCCAAACCAAAAAAAGAUUCUUGGUUUCAAAGAGAGUCCCCAGCGUCUAAGCAGUGUUUGAUGAAGCACAUUCUCGAACCACAACUGUUACUUGACAAAACCUUUGAAAUAGCAAUACCACUACUUUGCUAGCUCCUCCAUUGGCAUGACUCUUGGAAGCAACUCAGAGGCGCAAAGGCCACCUGGAGCUCCUCCUCUCUUGUAGGACACAGGGGAAGAGUUGCAUCCCCUCUGCCACUCUUCCUAUUUCCCGAGCUCGUGGGGCUUCACAGCCGUGAGCGUGAGACCGCACUAGUCGUUCUUGUUUUCGAAAUUGUGUUCAGUUCAAUUCUAAGCAAACACGAUCCUUCGAAUGGCUUAAAGGACACAUUCACUUUAGUUCAACUCCUAAAAUGAAUCUCCUUGUGAAACUAUGAAAUUCUGUGAUCUAUGAAAUCUGUGAAUUUUGCUAAACUUCGGUGAAGAUUUCACUCACAAAUAUUCUCUAAGCUAGCAGUAUCAAAAUUUCAAUGUUCAGGAAAAAAUAAGGAAGGGACUGCUUGUUAGAAAUAGAGAUUCCUGAGCCAAAGUGAGGCAGGGGAAUCUGCCUGUUUAUACAAUAAAUGCCGCAGUGGCUCUGAUGGACACCCAAGGGCCACACUUUGGGAAAUUCCCAAACUCGGCGCCGGGUCCUCAGUUUACCUGCACCGUUUGUUUUGUGUUAAGCACUGUGCAUGGCAAAGAGGCCCGGAGCCAGGGGGACCGGGUGUAAAUCUGACGCCAGCACGUAUUAUGCUAGUUUUAUGAACCUCAGGGGUUUUUUUUCCAAUUAAAUGAGGAUAAUCGUGCCUGAGUCACAGCGUUGCUGUGCGAGUGAACUGAAGCCAUGGGUGCUGCUCAGUGAGACGCAGAUCCAAGGGGCUGUGUAACGGUGAAGAAGGGAACAUCCUCACACUGUGGUGAAGGCAAGAGCAGGUACAAUGGGGAAAAUAAUAUCUACUUCUUAUUUAUCUUCUGGGAAUAAUGUAAAGGAUGUUUAGGACAUUGCUGGCUUUAGCAGGCCUUUCCAAUCUCAAUGAAUGAUGUCACCCUCUGUGCAUGGAGCCUGGCAGAAACUUGGGAGUUAUCCUACACUUCCCUGCCUGCCCUCGCCUUGUCUCCUGGCUAUUUAGCCUUCUAAACAUCUCAUCUUCACUGUUGCUGUUGUGGUCAUAGCCCUCUUUAACCCUUACCAAGACCAGACCUGUGCCCUUCUGAGCAGAAAUCUUCUGCUUGAACCUCCAGAAACACUCUCCACAUUUUCCUUCUGCUCAUGCCCAGGAGGCCAACCUGUAUCAUAUUUUGCCCUCUGGUUGCCAGUUGGGUUUGGCCAAUAGGAUCUGUCCUACUGGGAACUUGACUGAAACAUCUCCUAUCUGUCUUACUCUACCUUUAUCCUCUUCCAGUUGGGCCUUCAUGCUAUAGCCAGAGGAGUCUUUCACAACUGAAAUGUAUCUUGCCACCCCAUGACUCUAUAAUAACUUUGAGCAUCUGCCAGCUGAAGACCCAAACCCUUGAGAAGGAUUGAGACUCUGGCUCUCUCAUUUCCCAGCCUGUGUUUCUUUCAGCCCCCACCAUUCCUGUUCCUCAGGUGAAAUAAAUGUUUCAGUUUCUUAAAAGUUUCUCAACACAUAUCAUUGAAUGGGUACCUAGAGGCCAAGGGAGCACCAAUUUUAGGCUAAAUAAACUUUGAAGACUUAUCAUGAUUUUAAAAAAUGAAAUAAAGUAUAUCAGUUUAUAAUCAAGAAAAACAACUAUUGCACCUGAGCAGGAUACUAUUUACAUUAUUUAACAAAAUCAUAAAUAUCCAGUUUAACUAUGGAUAAUUUGAGUCAAAGGUCAAACCCCAAAUCAAUUGUUACUCUUUACCUUUGUUAAAUUGGAAGACAUUUCUAGAUAAUUGCAAAUGUCUGGUUCCGCCAGAAGUACUGACCUUUCAGUAAAAUACGGACCGGACGUUUGGAAAGAUUCUGUGCUAAGUCUGCUCUGACCCAGCCAGACUCAAAGACAAAAAGCAUUUCACCUUCACAGCUGGACACGGGAGUGCUUCGCUCCGGGAGAGAGCAGCAAGUGGGUUCUAAUCUACUCUGUGAUCAUAUUUCAUUUGGGGAAAUAUUUCUUCAUGUUCUCUUGCAAUGUUUUUAUACAUCAACUUAUUUCUCCCGUAAAUGAGGAAAAUUUCUGAUGUUUGGAAAAAAUUAAAAAUCUUGAUGAUUAAGCCAUGCAGACUUCUUAAGAAAUCCUUAGCCCUAAUUCUGAAAUUCUACAUGGUUCAGCCCUAAAGCAUUGGUUUCCAGCUACUCAAGAAACUGAAUAUGUAGCUAGAGCGACACCACUCAAGGAAAGCACUGGAAAUAAUAAGAUCACAUUUACUAGCAUUACGUACUAUGAAAAAAUGUUUUUCACUUUCAUCAUUUCAAAAAUCCAUGUGAGUACCUCAUCUUUGAGAGAACACUACUUUAGAGAACCAGACACGUGUCCCCACUGUCUGUAUCGUUCAGGGACAGUCAGAAAAGAGAAAUUCUGCUGGAUGUUGCAGUGCAAGGAUUUCUUUACAUGGAUGUGGCAGAGCUGGGAAGUCGAGCACUGCACAGUGAGGAAUCCCAAGACUGGCCACACAAGGAAACCAUUAUCACCACUGAACCAAGAGACACAAAGAUGUGGCAAUGCUACCAGAGCACAGACGCCAGAGUGCCUGGUAGGAGCCACAGCCACAGUGGGGCUGCCUCUUGCUGCAGGGGGAGACCAGUGAGAUGGAGAGGUUCUUGGGGUAUAGAGUCCCCACCAGAGGUCACACAGGAAACAGAGAGAAAGGAUGAGAAACACCCUAGCUUCUCCUUUCCUCCUGCCCUCCACUCUCCCACCAAUACCUUCCAUGGUCCAAACCAGCCCAGAAGCUGGUUGGCAAAGGAGCGUGGGAAAUGUAGUCCCCUAUAGUAAAGAACAGGGGACAAGUGAGGGUGGAGCAAACCAGGAGCUGGCAGGCUGCUCAUUUCUUCACAUGGUGCUCUGAAAAAACAUGUUUUCAUGGCUGGGUGACACAUAUGGGUAAUAUACAUAAUUUUCGCUAUUCUUUUAAACCAGAGUCAAAGUGAUUGUUACCAUUGACAACCAACAUUCUCUGUGAAUAAGUCAGCUUGCGGUUGCCCACUUCAAUAGAGACUGCUGUUUUCCGGGCCAUGCCCUUGCUUGUCGCUGAAGCAGCUGGAGCCCCCUCAGGACUGAUCCCAAGGUGUGUGGUUUUCAGUUGACAUCAGAGCUCACAGAUUACUGUCUUCUAACUUCUACUUCAGUGUGUGUUUUAAGUGAUAAAUGGAACAAAAUGUGCCAAGCAUUUCUACCUCAAAUAUGCACAUCCCAUAAGCAAAACUGACUGGAGCCAUUCACAGCAAUGUAGAAUGUUUGCCUAAAAGCACCCGCACUCACUAUUUUCUCAUCCCCUUCUGUGCC